rnacentral:rRNA from 1 species
GACGAACGCUGGCGGCGUGCUUAACACAUGCAAGUCGAGCGGUAAGGCCCUUUCGGGGGUACACGAGCGGCGAACGGGUGAGUAACACGUGGGUGACCUGCCCUUAGCUCUGGGAUAAGCCUGGGAAACUGGGUCUAAUACCGGAUAUGACUCCAUGACGCAUGUUGUGGGGUGGAAAGCCUUGUGCGGCUGAGGAUGGGCCCGCGGCCUAUCAGCUUGUUGGUGGGGUGAUGGCCUACCAAGGCGACGACGGGUAGCCGGCCUGAGAGGGCGACCGGCCACACUGGGACUGAGAUACGGCCCAGACUCCUACGGGAGGCAGCAGUGGGGAAUCUUGCGCAAUGGGCGAAAGCCUGACGCAGCGACGCCGCGUGAGGGAUGACGGCCUGGU